rnacentral:rRNA from 1 species
GCAAGAUCCUGGAGUCCAAGGUGAAGGACUGGAAGCCCGGCGAUCUGUUCGGCGCCUGGCUGCCGUUGAUCAGCGUGCAGGCCGUGAGUUCCGCUGCGCUGAGGAGUAAUCCCUUCC